UACGAAGGGGGCUAGCGUUGUUCGGAAUUACUGGGCGUAAAGCGCACGUAGGCGGACUCUUAAGUCAGGGGUGAAAUCCCGGGGCUCAACCUCGGAACUGCCUUUGAUACUGUGAGUCUCGAGACCGGAAGAGGUGAGUGGAAUUCCUAGUGUAGAGGUGAAAUUCGUAGAUAUUAGGAAGAACACCAGUGGCGAAGGCGGCUCACUGGUCCGGUUCUGACGCUGAGGUGCGAAAGCGUGGGGAGCAAACAGG
rnacentral:rRNA from 2 species